rnacentral:rRNA from 1 species
AUUGAACGCUGGCGGCAGGCCUAACACAUGCAAGUCGAACGGUAGCACAGAGAGCUUGCUCUCGGGUGACGAGUGGCGGACGGGUGAGUAAUGUCUGGGAAACUGCCUGAUGGAGGGGGAUAACUACUGGAAACGGUAGCUAAUACCGCAUAACGUCGCAAGACCAAAGAGGGGGACCUUCGGGCCUCUUGCCAUCAGAUGUGCCCAGAUGGGAUUAGCUAGUAGGUGGGGUAACGGCUGACCUAGGCGACGAUCCCUAGCUGGUCUGAGAGGAUGACCAGCCACACUGGAACUGAGACACGGUCCAGACUCCUACGGGAGGCAGCAGUGGGGAAUAUUGCACAAUGGGCGCAAGCCUGAUGCAGCCAUGCCGCGUGUAUGAAGAAGGCCUUCGGGUUGUAAAGUACUUUCAGCGGGGAGGAAGGUGCUGAGGUUAAUAACCUCAGCAAUUGACGUUACCCGCAGAAGAAGCACCGGCUAACUCCGUG